GUGGCGAUGUCUUUUGCGCAACAUCCUUCAACCAGACACGUUUGUGUGUGAAUAUUGACGGAGGAUACGUGUGUGUUUGCAACAAGGGAUUUACUGGACCCAAAUGUGAAAGCGAUAUUGAUGAAUGCAUUCAUAAUACAACGUGCGGUGGAAAUGCGGAUUGUUCCAACGCGUUCGGUCGAUUCACCUGUGCAUGCCGCGAGGGCUAUCCACAGGGAAACCCCUAUCUGGGCUUCUUCGAACCGGUUUUACUGGAGUUCAGUGGAGCGGGAGACAGUAAUGGGAUAUAGACAACGAGAUAAUAAAGGAAUACCAAAUCUCAAGAAGGAUUCCAUACUACGGGAGAUAUGUGCACUGGUUUAGGCUAAGUAUGGACGGAUUCAUAUCACUAGAUUUUCAACCAUUGUACAAUCAAUAUGGAGGAGAAAAUGCAAGCGAGUGGAGGACAGCUGUUCAGAACCACAUGGUAAUUGCACCAUUAUGGACAAACAUUGACAGCAGAAAUAUAACAGACGGAGGACUUUGGAUUCACCUAUUUACCGACCGACAAAAGGACAAUGUAGACAUUGAGAAAAUCCAAUAACUCGUUCGCCAAUACACCAACCAGACUGAGUUCAUUGUAAGUGUGGCCCUGGUCGCUACGUGGAAACACGUGACUGUCCACUCGCCCUAUGAACCCGGAUAUGAACUCGUCAAGCAUCAGAACCUGUCGAUGCAGUGCAUUCUGGCAUCAGACGGAAUGUACACGUUCAUCAUAUUCAACUACGACCGGGAACAGUUUAGUAUCAAACCGUUAUCAGAAGUACCCGUUGCCAGUGGUUUCACAAAUCUAAAUUACACGGGAGUCAUUUUGUCCAACAGAUAUAACUUCACGCGACUUAAUCAAGAAUCCAAUGUUA